AUAAUACUCCCUCCGUCCAGAAUUACUUGUCAUCAAAAUGGAUGUCUAGAACUAAAAUACAUCUAGAUACAUCCAUUUCAAUGACAAGUAUUUUCGGACGGAGGGAGUAGUAG
rnacentral:pre_miRNA from 1 species